GAAAAAAUAAUUUAAAACAAUCAAUAUGCCUAGAUAAGUAUAACAAAAUCAGCAGAGCACAAUCACUCUGGAUACCAGCCAAGCACUAAAUCUACAUUUUCAGAAUGUUUCCUCUGAAAUGGAGGUAAAGUUUCAACCCAAAAAAGUUAAACCUUAGGCUCAAAAUCCAAAUUCACUCCAUUGAAUCACAAUGGAAUACCAGCCUGCAUAUGUGAUGCAAGUAUACGAGCCAAACGACUCGAAAGUCUCAAGCUCAACUGUAUAUCCUUUUAAUCUCCACUAUCGUUCCACUCUCUAUACCAGAUAACUUACACAUUAGUUUAACUCUUCCACUCACCUCAAAAACUGCAAAAAGUAUGGCCUCCAACAAGGGCAGCAAAUGAUGUAUGUAUAACCCUUCCAAAUACACCUUCCUUUAAAUCAGAAUGCAAAACAGAGUUGCCACUCGUUGCAAAAUCGACAGUAUUAUUUCAUGCAUGGUUGGUAGAGAUAUUUUCCACGCCAGCGCCGCCUUCUUCUUGAGCUGGGUUUGAUUGAUUAGCUGAUUCGUCCGAUGAGCCACCAGCAGCUACCUCCAGUUGAGCAUCGGUCACUUCUGUAGCACUGCUGAUAUUUGUAGCUGAUUCAUUCUCAGAGACAUUCUGCAAGGAAGCUGUUGGACCACCAUCUGACGAUGCAACAGGUGUGGACAAACCUGAAUCAGCUGCAAGCUGGCCAGCAGUACGAGUCCAUUUCCUCCAACCAUCCCGUCUCCUUACCUUGUCAUCCUGCACUUCUACAAACGUUGAAGCCCUCAAACAAUACAAAAUGAACUGGAUAAUAUCAGACUGGACCUUCUCUGUCAUUUUCUUAACUCGAGGAAAGUUAGCAAUCAGAUGCAUUGGAACCCACCCUUCCUCAUCCAUCUUUACCCUCAAAAAGUCAUCUUUUACAAGAUUAGCAUCACUGAAGUAAUACUCUAUCUGAUUAACCAAGGAGGAAGGCAAAUUUGGAUCCACUAAAGGUAAAUGUUGGGGUAAUUGUGGAGCUUGGUUGAUGAUAGGCACAGCACUAUAGGGCUCCGGACUCAGUGGAGGAACGUAAAAGAAGGGAGUCAUAUCAUAUGCCAUCUGAUUAACAAAAGGUGUUCUCAUAGGGGUUGGAAGAAAUGGACCAGAACCAGGGAGUGGAGCUCGCAUAAACGCUGCAUGAGGAGGAGGAGCAAAUGGAGGACCCAUAUGAACGUCUCUCCGAUCUUGAUCACGCCUUCCCCCAUGAUUGUUAUGAUAAGACCCAUCUCCACGAGGUCGGCCCCCAAAGUUACCUUUCCUGCCAUGAUUUCUAUGGGAAGAAUGAUCAUUUACUCCAUGCGGCUGAGACGGAAAUCCUCCAACAGGUCUUGCACCUCUUACAGGAGGCUCAAGAACAGGUGGGAAAUGCAUUACAGGAAAAGGUGGAGGCAAUGGAGGUGGAGGUGGAGGCGGAGUUCUAAUAAAUGCUCCAGCACCUGGACCACUACCACCACCACCACCACUGCUGCUACUACCUCUGUAUUUUAUUGAUCUUUGUCUAACAGGGGUUGUAGGAUUUGCAUUUGAAUUUGUGUUUGCAUUAACAUUAGCCUGUUUUUGAGGUGACUGAGAAAUUAUUGGACCCUGAGAAACAGAAACCGAUCCAUCUUGAAGUUUUGCUGAAUCAGUAGCUGAUUUUGGGCUAGGCCGAGUAGACUCAGAGAGAGCAGGCCAGGAAACAGCCCCACCCAUAACAGAAACCGCCUCAACUACACCGUUUACAGGUUUAUUCCAAGCAGGCUUCUUCGGCCGACCUACAUUGCCCUCAUUGCUAUCAGCACUCUCCGGCAGAGCACCGGAAGUAGAAAUCUCCGGCGAAAUCUUCUGGGUCGAGCAAUCAUCCGACAGCGAAAUUUUCUCCGGCGAAACACCUGCAGCCGCUGCCAUCGGUGACGGCGAGCGAGGACUUGACACUGAUACUGCUUCAACCUCUCCUCCACGAACCACUUGAGCCCAUGGUGCUUGCAAACUCCGGCGAGCUUGAGGACUGCUGACAGUAGCCCCGACGGCCGCUGCACCGGCGCCGGAUGUCACAACGGCGACACCAUCUGUAUUGGCCGCCGGUGGACUAGCAGAAGAAUCCGGCGGCGGCGUGGCCAUUCAAAACCAAAACAAAAAAAU
rnacentral:misc_RNA from 1 species